UUUGUCUAUUGACUUUUUUUUUUUUUUUUCCAGUCUCACUCUGUCGCCCAGGCUGGAGUACAGUGGAGCAGUCUGAGUUCACUACAACCUCCACCUCCCAGGUUCAAGUGAUUCUCCUGCCUCAACCUCCCGAGUAGCUGGGACUACAGUCACGUACCACCAGUUGAAAAAGAUCAUCUAGCAAAGCCUUUUUUCCCAGCUACAUAUAAGGAAUUUGAAAGUCGCAUAAAAUGGUUAAGAAAAUGUGCCAAGAUUACCUCAGUAAUUCUGGUCUGUGUUCUCAGGAGACCCUGGAAAUAAACAAUGUGUCUUCUGUGGCUUCAGCGUCACCUAGUGCAGGCUGCCAUUCAACAAACGCAUUGUCAACAGUCAACCAAAAGAAACCCAUUGGCCACCAUACCCUGAGGACUAACCCUGACACAGAUGCCCUUCCAGAUGCCCUCAGUAGUCUAACUGAUUCCAUCGCCCCAGCCUUGGGGGAGAAGCACUGCUGCCUAUGCACUCCAUUUACAGGUGAACUGUCACCCCUACAACUCAGCUUGCAACCAGCCCUGGCCACCACCAGUUUCCCCACACUGAGCUGAAUAUUGGACAUGCCCAUCUUAGACAUUCCAGCCCAUUCUGAAAUUCCACAUCGAUUCACCCGACAAAGUCUGAAGUUCCAGGGCAAUUUAUCUGGAAAAGCUCACCUGGAAUCAUGUGUCAUUUCAACCAACAACUGUCGAAGAGGACGUGGCAUCAAAACCAAGGUUAUCAAUUAUUUAUAAGGGUUGUGUGGUGGUUGGUCCAAGCAUCUCUCCUUCAUGCCAUCACUCCUUUCAAGAGCUGCCUCUAUUUUCUAAUUUAGCACAGGAAUUUAGAUGCCCCUAAAUAAGUAGGCAUCCAGUAUCUGCCCACACCAGUUUUAGUGAGAGUACAUAUGGAGACACUGCCACCACCCCUGCUCUCCUACUGCAUACCCCACCAUGCCAAAGCAUGGUGGCUCACACCUGUAAUCCCAGUGCUUUGGGAGGCCAAAGAGGAGGAACACUUGAGGCCAGAAGUAUGAGACCAGCCUGGGCAACAUAGUGAGACCUCAUUUCUAUAAAUAAGUUAAAAAAACAAAAAAAUAGGGCACAGUGGUGCACAUGUGUGGUCCCAGUUACUCAGCAGGCUGAGGCUGGAAGAUCACUUGAGCCCAGGAGUUUGAGGCUGCAGUGAGCUAGGAUUAUGCCACUGCACUCUAGCCUGGGCAACAGAGAGAGACCCCAUCUCUAAAAAGAGGGAGAAGAAGGAAGGAGGAGGAAGAAGAGGAAGAGGAGGAGGAGAAAUACUGCUCUUUCUCAGGCCCAAGGUAAAAAGGUUUUUGGUCUCAUGUUGACCAGAAAGACAUUGAUAUUUAAUUAAGCAAUAUAAAAAGGCUCAUUGUUAGGAUUAAAGAGUAAGUAAAAUCAAUAUUGAGAUAGGAGGAUGGAGGACACCAACUGAGUUCCGAUCCCAAUGAAGAGGAGAAAAAGCUACAACUAUCUAGGUGAAAUAUCUACUUAUCCUAGAAGAAGCCUUUUGACAGCAACAUAAAAUUCAUACCUAUAGGUUUUUAAUUCCUAUGGAUGCCGUAGCAAAUAACAAAAACUUGGAUGGUGUAAAGUAACAGAUGUUUACUCUUUUCCAGUAUUGGAGACCAGGAAUCUGAGAUCAAGGUGUGGGCAGGGGUGCGCUCCCCCUGGAGGUUCUAGGAGAGGAUCCUUCCUGCCUCUUCCAGCUCCUGGUGGCUCCAGGUGUCCCUGGGCUUGUGGCCACAUCACUACAUUCUCUGCCUCCAUCUCCACGUGACCUUUUCCUCUGUGUCUGUGUCUCCUCUUCUGUCUCUUAGAAGGACACUGGUCAUUGGAUUUAAAGGCCACCUGGGUAAUUUAUAGUGAUCUAAUCUCAAGAAUCUUUCCUUAAUUACAUGCAAAUACUCUUUAUCCAAAUUAGUUUGCAUUCACAAAUUCUGGAGCUUAGUACUUGGACAUAUAUUUUGGGGGGUUGAUGGUUGGAGGGGCUUUUAUUCAACUCAGUACAUCUUAAUAAGGAAUUAAUGCCCCCCAACUUGCCUUACAAGUCAUAUAUUAAAAACAAUGUUGGCCUGGCACAGUGGCUCAUGCCUGUAAUCUCAACACUUUGGGAAGCCAAGGGAGGAGGAUCACUUGAGCCCAGGAGUUGGAGACCAGCCUGGAUAACAAAGGGAGACCCAGUUUCUACAAAAUAUUUAAAAAUUAGCCAGGCAUGAUGGUGCAUGCCUGUGGUCCUAGCUAUUCAGGAAACUGAGGUGGGAGGAUCACUUGAGCCUGGAAGUUCAAGACAGCAGUGAGCUAUGCUCACACCACUGCACUCCAUCCUGGGCAACAGAGCUGGACUCUGUCUCAAAAAACAUAACACUAAAACAUCAAAAUUAAAAAAAAAAAA
rnacentral:lncRNA from 1 species